ensembl:lncRNA
CCACGAGGAGACUGCGUGGCAGGCUGACUACCUGUUACGAGAGUGCAGCAAGAAGUCAAGUUCAGCAGUAAGUUAAAGUAUGUGAACAGCCCGGCGGAGCUACAAGAUAUAAUUCCAUUGGAGUAUGUGAACAUCCCUGAGAGCAUUAUCAAAGUUGAUAAAAGAAUAAACCCUGUGGUGUUUGAUCAUUCCUUGAUGACAGGCUACCCGUUUGGCCAUAUGACGCUGUGGUCAAGAGUAGACACUCGUCCUGCCUGCACACACCUGUGGUGAAGAGGAAAGGCUAUUCUACCAUACCUUAUUACUCUGCCAUGCAAGACAGAGGCACAGCAGGAAUCCAGGCAGUGUUAAACACAUAUUUUGGGACAUAUUGGAGAUUAUGAGAGUUUUUGUAAGCAAACAUGUUUUUCGAAAUGUAAUCCAUUGUUUAAAACCUGUCACACUCAAUUACUAUGUUAUUUUCCAGGAUCAUAAGGUUGUCU